AUUUCAUUUAGCUUAUUUUUUUUACCUUACUUAUUUUAGUUUUAGUUCAUGUGAAUAUAUAUAUAUAUAUAUAUAUAUGUAUAUAUAAAUAUCAUUGUUUUUCUAUCAUUAUUAUUAUCUCCUUUAAACAAACACUAAACAAUAAAAAAUAAAUGGCAAAAGUAAAAAUGGGUCAACGUGCUGCAAAAAGAAAAGAGCUGCCUAUAUCACGUGAUGGUGAUACUAACUAAAUAGGGCAAGUUGCAGAUAUGUAAGAAAGGUGGGAAAGCCAAAGCAAAAGAAGAGAGCAUGGAAGAGGAAAAUGAGAGGGAUGGAACCCAGUUUAAUUUGUUGCUAGAGUUGACCAUCGUCAAUCAACAGCAACAAGAGACAAGGAAGCUUGCAUUAUAUUGGCUUUUCUUUUCGGGCGCGUUUAUUAUGGACCAGUUUUGUCUGGUCCAUGGUUGCACCACCUGCUUUUUACCUUCUACUGCAGGUUUAGCAGGGAAGACAGCAAAUUAAAUUAAUCAUCAAUCUUCCUCUUCUCUACGUUUUGUUAGUUGUUACGCAGACAGGAAGCACUACUCCUCCUCCACUAUGCAGGUAACCAAUCUCCUCUUCCUCUCUAGAACUUCAUCUUCCUAUUUUCUCUAUUUGAGACAGCCAAGCGCUCUUUCCACUCUACAGGUAGGUAACCAAGAUUUGUUUGGUGACAAUGUUAUCAAUUGAUAUUUGUUUGGUGACAAUGUUAUCAAUUGGAUUCAGUUUUGUGUUUGUUGGGAACAGAGCUAGAAUAUAGUUGUGAUGAUUCUAUUUGACAUGUAUUUAUUUGUACUCAUUUAUCCUAAUCUUGUUUUAAAUUAAGUAUCCGUUUGUUAUAUCUUAUUGAUAUUUUUAGUUAGUUUUCUGUUUAUCUCCUUUUUAGUUACAAAUGCAUGUUUAAUCUCAACCGUAAAAAUCCAAAAAAAAAAAUUCAUUUAUUUUCAAAAUCCAAAAACAUCAUAAAAUACAAAAAAAAAAUUAUCUUUUCCGAUCCAAAAAAUCAAGAUUAACUUUUCUUUCAAAAAUCUAU